GUUCUACAAUAUGUGGAAGAAUGAACAGAAUAACCACAGAAUUAGAGAAAGGAAAUUAUGGAAUUUUUUUCCAUCUUAUACAAAUCUAACGGGAAAACAGAUUUAGGUGUCAUGGCAUCCGUUACGUAAUGGCUAAGUAAACCUUUCAUUAUAUAUUUUGUGUCUCUGCUGAAUUUUUUAUUUAUUUAUUUUAGUUUUCAUUUAAUGAAGUUCACUAUCAUUAAAUCAUGAGUAAACAGCAAUUAAAUAAUGCGAAAAUCAAUCAAAACGAAAGCAACACAAGAUAACAUGACUAAUUUAAUGGCAAAAUAUGGGAGAAGAUUUUGUCCAGCAGCAUAAGCUAAUGAUGUUUGGAAAUAAUAAAUCCAAAUAAAAACU